GACGUAGGGCGCGAGCGUUGUCCGGAUUUAUUGGGCGUAAAGAGCUCGUAGGCGGCUUGUUGCGUCGACCGUGAAAACCCGUGGCUUAACUGCGGGCUUGCGGUCGAUACGGGCGGGCUGGAGUUCGGUAGGGGAGACUGGAAUUCCUGGUGUAGCGGUGAAAUGCGCAGAUAUCAGGAGGAACACCGGUGGCGAAGGCGGGUCUCUGGGCCGAUACUGACGCUGAGGUGCGAAAGCGUGGGGAGCAAACAGG
rnacentral:rRNA from 1 species